AUCUAUGAUUUUCAUGACUGAGAUCUGUAGAGCUAGCUAGCUAGAGACCAGGUACGUACCAGUGAGUGAUCGUGACUCGACUGAGGAUGCAGUAUAAUUAUAAGUCACUCUGAAAGUUAGAUCUAAAUCCAGAGAUGUCAUUAUUAAUGGAAGCUUGCGAGACGGGUGAUGUGGGUGUGGUUCAGUUGGCACUAGAAGGAGGGGCGGAUCCAAACCAGGCAGAUGAGGUUUAUUAUAGGAUAGACUC